GAACGCUGGCGGCAGGCCUAACACAUGCAAGUCGAGCGCACCCUUCGGGUGGAGCGGCGGACGGGUGAGUAACGCGUGAGUAACCUGCCCCAUACACAGGGAUAGCCAUUGGAAACGAUGAUUAAUACCUGAUAACACAUAUCUACUGCAUGGUAGAAAUGUCAAAGAUUUAUCGGUAUGGGAUGGACUCGCGUCUGAUUAGCUAGUUGGUAAGGUAAUGGCUUACCAAGGCGACGAUCAGUAGCCGACCUGAGAGGGUGAUC
rnacentral:rRNA from 1 species